GCUUGAAUGAUGAUUUUAAUUUGAUCGGAUUUCCCUUCACUCGCCCUCCAAUGAGUGACAUCCCUCUUCUGACAAGC